AUUUUUGCGCAGUGGCAGUAUUGUAGCCAAUGAGGUUUAUCUAAAGCACAAUAUUGCUCUUCUAAAAACAUUAAAAAAGAAG
ensembl:snRNA U4 U4 spliceosomal RNA